GUAAGCUUUGAGUAUAUUUUGAUCUUUUUCUAGUUCCUUAUGGUGUGAGUUAGAUUGUUGAUUUGAUUUCUCGCUUUUCAAAUGUGGCAUUUCUGCUCUAAGCUUCCAUCUUAGCACUGCUUCUGUGGGAUCUCAUGAGUUCGGGGACAGGGGGUUUCACUUUCAUUUCUCUCAAGAUUUUUUCUAAUUUCCAUUGUGAUUUCUUCUUUGACCCAUUGGUUGCUCAAAAGUGCCGUUUAAUUUCCAUGCAUUUGUGAAUUCCUGGUUUUUCUUUGCUACUGAUUUCUAUUUUCAUCCCAUUUGGGUCAGAAAAGAUAGUUGGUAUGACCUCAAUCUUAUUAAAUGUGCUAAGACUUGUUUUGCCAUGUGGUCUCUCCUGGACGAUGUCCCAUGCACUUCAGGAGAACGUGUGUUUGCUGCUAUUGGGCAGCGUGUUCUCAGCAUGUCUGUUGGGCCGAAUUGGUCCAUCGUGUUUCCUUAUUGAAUUUCUAUCUGGUUGAUCUGUCUUUACUAAAAUGGGGUAUUGGAAUCUCCUCUGAUUAUUGUGUUACUGUCUCUUUUUUCAAUUCAAUCAAGGUUUGCUUCACAUAUUUAGGAGCUCUGCUCUUAGGUGCGUAUACAUUGACAAUUGUUAUAGCUUCCUGGGGAACUGACACUUUGAUCUUUAGGUAACGUCCUUCUUCAUCUCUUGUCGGCUUUUGACCUAGAGUCUAUUUCGUCUGAUGCAAGUACAGCCCCGCCUGGACUCUUCGCUGUCCGUUUGUGUGGAAUCUGCUUGCAUCCCUUCCCUUGCAGCCCGUGUGUCCUGUAUCGUCAGGAGUGUCUGUGGGCAGCCUGCAGUUGGAUCUUGCUUGCCUAUCUAUCAACCGCUCUGAGCCUGCUGAUGGGAGGUCAGUCUGUCCACGUUACCGUCAUCACUGACGGGGGGACUUCCUGUUGCCAUUCUGCUCAUCAUUUUCUGUCUUUAGUUACUUCUCCGUCUUCUCCUCUCCUGUGCCUUCCUUUGUGUUCUGUUGACUUUUUGUAGUGACAAGUCUGAUUCCUUCUCAUUUUCUCUUGUGCAUUCUCCAUAGUUAUUUUUUUUGUGAUUUCCAAGGGGAUUGCACAAAAGAACUUAUAUGUAACCAUCUAUUUUAAACUGAUAACAACGUGCUUCAAUUGCAUAAAAAGCUCUACUCCUUCACACCCCCCAACACUUCCUAUUAUCGAUGUCACAAUGACGUCUUUUUAUAUUCUGUAUCCAUCCACAGCUGGAGCUGUCUCAUAAAGGCUCUGUGCACUGUGUAUUGUUGUCAAGUUGAUUUUCCUGUGGGGAGUGAGGUCGGGGUCUUCCUAUUCUGCCAUCUUGCUCUCAUCUCUGGAGGUUUUAGCUCUCAGCCAGGAUCACCCCAUGCGACACCCUGAGCAGCCCCAUGAGGAAGUCUGCAGAAAAGAGUUAACCCAGCAGGCCCGAGACUACAAUCCUCGGAAAGGCUGCUGGCAAGCCUUUCCCUUGGAGAGAGUCUGGGAAUUUGGCUGCAGGCAGUUCCCUACGAGGCUAUCAAUCUUUCUUCACCAGAAGAGGGGUGCGCUGUGCCUAAAUUCCCUGUGCGAACAACAUGGUUGAUGCUGGACACCUGCUUUCCUCGUGGAGCCUGGAAUCUGGGGCCGUGCCAGCAGAGGGUGCCUACCUGACCAGCUCCCCCUGAAAACUGGGUGCCGAGUCUCUGAUGAGCUUCCCUGGUAGACAGCGUUUCACAUGUGUUGUCACAACUUGCUGAGGAGUUAAGAGCAUCAUGUGUGACUCCAUGGGGAGAGAACCCUGGAAGUUCGCACCUGGUGUCCUCUGGACUCGAAGGGUAACCCAGCCCCUGGCUCUGCUCACCCCUCCCUGCCCCUCCAGCCUUGGGGUGGCAGCAGCUUCCUGCCAAAUCAGGGUGCCCCUCCCCUGUGCUCUCAGCUGCCUUGCACAUUUAUAGUCAGUGUCCUUACUGAAUUUGUGUCUUUCAACUUCCUGGUGUAGCUUCCAGCUCCCUCAUUGGCUCCACACUAGUCAGUCAGUAGCUGUCAUUUCUCUACCAUAAAAAUGUCCCCCUUGGAGCCCUGCACCCCAGGGGACCAAGGGCGUGGGCCCAGCUGAGACAGAGGGACUGGGGCCGGGCAGCUCCUGCACUGACCAGGAGCCCCUGUGUCCGUUUUGCUUGUGGCCACGUGUUGUCCAUUAUCUCUGGGAAGCAGCCCGCCCGGCUCCUCUGAGUCUGUAUAAUUUAUUACCUUCACACCCACACAGAAUGUUAAUGUGACUGCUUAUCUCCAACUCAGCGAGCAGGACAGAUGCUCAGGAGGGAAGCAGCUGCUGCAAUGGCAGCCUGGGCUGUCGGGAAGGGGCCCUGCAGACGGACGAACAGACAGACAGGCAGCCCUGGUGAGAACUCGACUCUGCUUCCUCGCGUCCGUGUGGCCCUGAGCAGUUCUGUCAUCAUCCAGGCCGCAUGGCUGCCCUGGAGCCGGGGGUAGGGCGAAUCCUAUUUGCUGACCACCCUCCACUCCCACCGUCCCUUGGGGAAGCCCCCUCCAUUCUCUCAGGCCUGUGGACUUGGGGGGGGGUGGACACGACAGCCCCACGCCUGCUGCCAGGCUCCAAGGGUGACCCCAGUGACCCUGUGCUGGGAGGGUGGAGGCGGAGGGGUCGUCAGGUGUGCCACCUUAAAACGAGGAAGAUGAACCCUGCUGCUCAAGAGCUCCCAGAGUCGGGGUCACGGGCAGGAAUGAGGGACGAGGCUCCCGUGACGGAAUCAAGGGGGAGUGCGCCCUCCACGUGGUGGGGAACUGCUGUCCGGGCCUCAGACCUCGGCUCCUGACCCGCCAGGGCUGCUGGGAGGUUAACAUUCCGCACAAAACAUCUAAUUCACAGGGUCAGACCCUCAAAGCUGCCUUCUCCCGGGGGCUCCCCGGCGCUGUGUGGUUGCUCAGAUGCUCAUAGGAGCCCGACGGCUGCUCGUCUCAGGCCCCCAGGACAGCCCGCCGGCCCCGCCGCUGCACCUUGGACGUGGCCUCUCCGAGACGAGGGCCACACUGGUCCUGGGGGACCCGGACCGGGCUGGGAUCCCGCAUCUAGUCGGCACAGCACAGGAAGCAGAGACCACAGCACAGGGCACUCCUGGUGACAGAGUACAAGGCCGAGGGGACGGCGGGAGGGAGAAACCAUUUCUCUAGGCGUUUGUCCCUUUACCCACACAGUCAUUCAUUCCUUUACCCACGCAAUCAUUCAUUCCUUCACCCAUGCAGUCGUUGUCCCUUCACCCACGCAGUCAUUCGUUCAUUCAUUCAGCACAUAUCCAUUGGGUUUCUACUUCCUCCCAGGCUGUUUUAUGCACAUGAAGCACAACCUUGAAUACAACAGCCCCAACUCCCAGCCUCAUGGAGGUUAUAUGCAGGUAGAGGAGACCAACAUUUCAUAAACAAAGUAUACAAUGUCAGCUGGUAAUUAGAGCUCUGGGCGAGAAUAAAGAAGCCAGAAAGGGCAGAGAAGGGGGAGGCAGGGCUGCCAGGUGUGGUUGUCCAGGUUGUGCACUGCCUGAUUUUGGCAGCACAGUUCACCUCACAGUUGCCCUAGAGUCACACAGUCACUGGGGCGGGUUCCCAGCAGAUGGCAGUAACAUGUCUGAGAAAGGGCCCAUUUUUAAUUUACCCAAAACCGUCUCCUGGGCUCACAGCCCCGGGAGGAGGGGGUCCUGGCAGGAUGACACAGAGUGAGGGACCCUCAUUUCCCUCCCACCUGGGGUGAUGCAGAAGCUGGAAGGGCUCUGAGACUGGACCAGAGUGAGCAGAGGGUGUGGUGGGAGGGGAUGAGGUCAGGGUGGGGCAGGGGCUGGGGCACUGGGGGAGGGCAGGGUAGGAGGGUCUGUUGGCCUUGGGCUACCUCCCAGGACUUAACCCCUCGCUCUCCUAGGCCCAUCCCUGCCCUGUGGAAAGGGGAUAGAUGGAGUCCCCUCGAGGUCACCGCAGCACUGGCUCCUUGCUCACACAGCGAUGGUCCCCUGCUGCUGUCAUUCUGGUCACCGUCACUGGUCAGCGGCCCAGACCCUUGGCCAGCCUGUAGGGUCCACCCCAGCCUUGCCGUGUACUAGCUGUGUAGCUGUGCAGUUCCUACCUCUGGUCUAGUAGGACUGUUUGGUGGUGACAUGAAGGACCACAUGCCGGGCACAGAGCAAGUAUGUGUGAGCGUCACCUCUUGGUCACGGUCACCACCCCUGACGAGGGCGUCCACGCAGCUAUGUCCCCUGACAUCACAGGGAGGCAGGACCUGGCUAGGGGGAGGGCCUGAAGGAGCCUAGUCCUGUCCCCAGACCAGGGCCAAGAAGACCUCAGAGGAGAACCAGGAAGGGGCUGGUUCCAAUGCCCCCCACCCCCCCAAACAGGAAGCUGACCAGGGUGUGACCUGCCUGAGGUCACAGGGCAGAGCUGGGGCCAUGGGCCAGGUGCUUCCUGCAGCUUAAUUCACUCACUGCCCACCAGGACCCAUAGUGCAGCUGCUGUCAUCACUCGUUCUUUGUAUGAGGAAGUGGAGAUGCAGAGAGGGGAAGAAACUGGCCCAAAGACACAUAGCUUGAAAGUGGGAAAACCGGGGUCCACACCCAGGCAGCUCUGCCCCCGACACUCAGCUCCUAAGGAGGCACCACAUGUCUUGGCCCCCACACAGACUCUAGGUCGUCAGGACCUGGGCAGGCACGGGAGGCGUGCAGCGUCUGGAGGUGAGUAGUGGGGGGGCGGUGGUGGUGACUGUGGAGGACUGGAGAGGCUUCGCCCUCCUAAGGGCAGUGACCUUCUUGUCACAGAAACAAGCUUGUGCCAGCCCAGCCCCCUCUCCAGGGGCCCUUCAGCGUGUGCCUGAGAGCAGCCCCUGGUAAAGCCGGGUCUCAGGGCACAGGGGCAGCCAAUCCUGGACACCUGCUCUGGAGGGAGGGGCGUCGCUGGUUCAGAAGUGUCCUGCUGAGCCAAGCGAGGACACAGGGCUGGCCUCAGGAGCAGGGCAUUUGUCUGAAGAUGGCAGCUCUCCUGGCAGCUGGUGGGGGAUCCAGUGGGGACGGGGCGCCCCUCCCCGCAGAGCAGGAGGCCGGGCUGAGGCGGGUGAACCGGCACAGGCGGUGUCCCUCGUGGGCCAGGCAGAUGUGGUGACAGCUGCGAGGAGGAAGGAGAGUUCGAGACGAUGGGAACGGGAGCCCGCUGGGCCGUCAGGUGCAGGGGUCCCACCGCAGGUUCUGGGUGGGGGCAGUGACACAACAGGGGGUGGUCUCGCGGGCGCAGGCGGGCGGAUGGCAUUCUGCCUCUAGAAAGCCUGUGGGCACCCAGCGUCCUCUGUGCGAUGCUCAGACGGGCUGGAUGACGCUCUCGGGACUCGGGGACGCAGGGCAGAGCGAGCGUAACUGUGACGUGCGGUGAACCCGUCUCUCACUCCAGCAUCCGGAGCGUCUGGAAAAUGUGCUUUAUAAAGGGCUCUGCGGCUGCAAAGGCGGAUUUCUCUGGCUCCGUCUGAAGGGACACUGUCUCUGUUCCAGUCUGAUAAUGGCUUUAAGGAGCACAUGUUUAUGCCAUUGUGAAAGAAAGCAUGACUUGCUUGUCCAAAACUAAUGGGUUUGAAAAUCCCCAAGGUGACGAGCUGGUGGCCGGCAGUGACAGGCCCCAGCCUCCCAGGGUCACGUGGUGGGACAAGCUCGCCUGGGCCCCAAGGUUCCCAUGUGAACACUGCGGAGUCGGACGGGCUCUGAUGCGUCACUACUGGCCUGCAGAAGCUGUCCUUGUGUCCGGGGAUGGGCCCUCCACUGCCCGGGCCUGCGUCACAGGGGGCUGAGUGGACACGGAGAACCAAAGCCCACCCUGAACUGAGGGGCGGUCAGAGAACAGCACCUGGAAGAGGCCCCUCUACUGGGCCGCCUGAGGAGCAGACACCCACUAGGACCUCCCACUGCAAGCGCCAUCCCACGUCUGCGCCCCUGGCCCUCUUAACUGGGCCUGGUUUCACCUCUGCGCCCCCCCAUAGACCCCAGCUGAACGCUGCUCUGCCACAACUUUGCUCUGCCCACACCCUGAGGCCAGGAACAGUGCUGCCCACCAUGUCCCUCCUAACUCCUGGUCCUGUGGUUCACAUCAGGAACGGAUUCCCCAACAGAGAACUCAGACACGGAUGGCUCAGAAAUGUGACUGAGGGGUCUGUGAUCUGCCCUGAGAUUUGGUCUGGACGUUUCUGUGAGGCUGUUUCUGGAUGAGAUCAACAUUGAAAUUGGUGGACUUUGAGUAAAGCCGAUUGCCCUUUCUCAUGUGGUGAGCCUGGUCCAAUCAGUGGAAGGCCUGGAGAGAACCAAAGGCCGACCUCCCCGAGGUCAAGGGGGAAUUCUGCAGCAGACGCCUUCGGAUGGGAACUGCACCAUCAGCUCUCCUGGUCUGCAGCCUGCCGGCCAGCCCUGCCCUUCUGGACGCACGAGCCUCCACCCUCAUUGAGCCGAUUCCUCCCACAAGUCCCUUUCUAGACACCCACACUUCUCCUCGCUUCUGCUUCCCUGGAGAAUGCUGACUGCGUGGGCUCUGAGUGUGCACCACAGGGCCGGCUCGACCCUGGAACUCAGGUGGGGCCUUGGGAAGGUGUGGGGAUGGCCUGGAUGUGCCCGGGGUGCUGGGACUCACAGGGGGGCUGAGCAGCCCCUUCCUGACUCCCUCAGGACGCUUCUCUGCAGCAUGAGUCUCUCUCUCCUUUAUCAACACCCCGAAUUCUCCCUACCACGUCUCCUCCGGCUGCUCCAUGGAUUAACGAGUGUGUCUGCGAAGCGCAGAAUUCCGGAAACCUUAGAUUCCAGCAGUCCCGGUGCUGGCGCCGUCAGGGCCUUCGGUGCUGAGGGUCCGUGUGAUCCCAUGGGUUGCAGGGCCCUGGGCAUCUCCGGGGAGGGUGGACUCUCUCCUGGUUUGAGCAGGGCGGUGAUUUUGUGUCACAGCGGUGUGGGCAGAGGAUGUUUCUGAAGCUUGUGAUAUUUUGACAAAAAUUUGCUUCCAAAAAUUUAUGAGCCUGAGCAACACAUUCGUUUUUGUGACACAGAAUGAAAGAAGGCAUACAUUUUUCAAGUUUCCUUCUUAGUUCAUUGGGCACCAUGUGCAUUACUCCUCAGCUUGUCAAAAUGUCAUAAUUCAUGAAUUUGUUUUUCAAAAAUGUGUGAUUGUCAGGGAAGUGGGGGAGGGGGCCCCACCUGAGAAGGACUUUGGCGCUUAUCUCUAUCUGUCCUUGAGCGUCAUCCCUCAUGGGGAUAGGGAGCCAACCCCAGGACGGAGGGCGGGCAGGGAGCUGCCGUCCGGGCUGGAAGCUCCCAGCUCCUCUGCCCACUGUGUGCACAGACCUGGGCUCAGCGCUGCCCUUGGCUCCCAGGGCCCUCAGACAACGGGGUGUCCUUGGCAGGAGUGGGGCAGCCUGGUCAGGGGCCCCAAGGGCCCCCCAACCUCCUGCAGGAGCCCCCUGUCCAGGGGCCCCACGGAGGACUGGCCCCCAGCCCCAUGCUCCAGGAACCCCCAGUCACCCCCGUCCUCAGGCCCCUCGGCCUCCCUGGGGGUCACACCAGCUCCAAACAGCAGAGCUGUUCCCAGCAACCUGGAGGAGGCCCCAGCACGGCCAGCAGAGCAGUCUCAGAGCAGUGGGGUCUCCAGGGACACGAUUCAAGUACGGACUGGCUGACCCCCUCAGGGAGCCCGGCCCAGGCCUGGGGUGAAGAUGAGCCCAGGGACAGGGACACAGGCCCCCACGGGGGCUCUUAGACUGGGAGCCGAGGCACGAUCUGUGGGGCCCAGUGCAAGAUGGAAAUGCAGAGCCCCCUGUUCAAACCCAGGAAAAAGGGCUGUGACAGGCGCCCAGGUAUGAUCCUCUUUCCACUUCUGUGGUUUCUCCAGACUUGUCGUGGGCUUUUCAUUUGCUCUUUAAUGUUCUAGAUAAACAAAAGUUACAUGUUUAAGUUGUUUGCAUGAACUUUA